UACAGAGGGUGCAAGCGUUAAUCGGAUUUACUGGGCGUAAAGCGUGUGUAGGUGGUUGGAAAAGUCGAUUGUGAAAUCCCUGGGCUCAACCCGGGAACUGCUUUCGAUACUGUCUGACUAGAAUUCGGUAGAGGGAGGCGGAACUCCAGGUGUAGCGGUGAAAUGCGUAGAUAUCUGGAAGAACACCAAUGGCGAAGGCAACCUCCUGGGCCUGAAUUGACACUGAGACACGAAAGCGUGGGGAUCAAACAGG
rnacentral:rRNA from 1 species